UAUUAGUAGAGAAGCGUGUGAGCCAGCUGCCAAGAAAAGCCGCUAUUGCUUCAUAAGUACCCGUACCGUAAACCGACACAGGUGGAUGAGGAGAGAAUCCUAAGGCCGGCGGGAGAAGUGUUGUUAAGGAACUCGGCAAAAUGACUCCGUAACUUCGGGAGAAGGAGUGCCACAGAGAUGUGGCCGCAGAGAAAUGGCCCAAGCAACUGUUUAGCAAAAACACAGGUCUAUGCAAAACCGAAAGGUGAGGUAUAUGGGCUGACGCCUGCCCGGUGCUGGAAGGUUAAGAGGAGAGGUUAGAGCAAUCGAAGCUUUGAAUUUAAGCCCCAGUAAACGGCGGCCGUAACUAUAACGGUCCUAAGGUAGCGAAAUUCCUUGUCGGGUAAGUUCCGACCCGCACGAAAGGCGUAAUGAUUUGGGCACUGUCUCAACAACACACCCGGUGAAAUUGAAAUACCAGUGAAGAUGCUGGUUACCUGCGCCAGGACGGAAAGACCCCAUGGAGCUUUACUCCAGUUUGAUACUGGGAUUCGGUACUGUCUGUACAGGAUAGGUGGGAGGCUAGGAAAUGGUGACGCCAGUUGCCAUGGAGCCAACCUUGGGAUACCACCCUUACAGUACUGGGUUUCUAACCUGCAGCCGUGACCCGGCUGGGGGACAAUGUCUGACGGGGAGUUUGACUGGGGCGGUCGCCUCCGAAAGAGUAUCGGAGGCGCUCAAAGGUUCCCUCAGAACGGUUGGAAACCGUUCGAAGAGUGCAAAGGCAGAAGGGAGCUUGACUGCGACACCGACGGGUGGAGCAGAUACGAAAGUAGGACUUAGUGAUCCGGUGGUAUAAAGUGGGAUUGCCAUCGCUCAACGGAUAAAAGCUACCCUGGGAUAACAGGCUUAUCACUCCCAAGAGUUCACAUCGACGGAGUGGUUUGGCACCUCGAUGUCAGCUCAUCGCAUCCUGGAGCUGUAGCAGGUUCCAAGGGUUGGGCUGUUCGCCCAUUAAAGCGGUACGCGAGCUGGGUUCAGAACGUCGUGAGACAGUUCGGUCCCUAUCCGGCGUGGGCGUAGGAUAUUUGAGAGGAGCUGUCCUUAGUACGAGAGGACCGGGAUGGACAAACCUCUGGUGUAUCUGUUGUUUUACCAAAGGCAUGGCAGAGUAGCCAAGUUUGGCAGGGAUAAACGCUGAAGGCAUCUAAGCGUGAAGCCCCCCUCAAGAUAAGAUAUCCCAUCUUCGGAGUAAGACCCCUUGAAGACUACAAGGUUGAUAGGCUUCAGGUGUAAGUGUGGUAACGCACUCAGCUGAGAAGUACUAAUAGGUCGAGGACUUACA
rnacentral:rRNA from 1 species